GGGAGGCGCCGGGGUUAAGUAGCGGGCGGCACCGCCCCCUCCCCGAGGUUGUGCGGGCCGCCGGCGGCCCCUGCCCAGCAGUCGGGCGUGGCCAAGUUUGCGGGGUUUGGGUGCCAGCAGCUCCCGGAGCGCGCAGAGUUCUGGGCGCCCGCGUCGAAUCCGACCUCGGGGCCGGCGAAACCCUAUGUGUGCGUCCUCUCGGGGACGCGGGACGGGGUCGGGGGCAGCGCUGUCUCCCCGCAGUGUCGCGGCCGUAGACAGCUCCUGCACCCGGACGUGGGGCCUGGCAUCCGACCAGAAGCCUGGGAGGGCGCUGUCUCGGCCUCCUCCUCCUCGCGGCGUGGGCGGGGGAGGAGCGCUGGCCGGUGCGGCUGGUUCUGACCUGGCAUCCCUCCUGGCUCGCCCAGCUGAUCAGGCUCGACAGGCAGGAAUUACUUUUGUUUUAUUCACUGCUACUACUACUACUAUUAUUACUAUUGGGUACUAGGGGUUGAAUGGGGUCUUCGCACUGAGCUCCUGCCCUUUAUUUUUUAUGUAUUGUCCUUUAUGUUUUAUACUGAGACACGGUCCCGGUAACUCAGUACUCGCGCAGGGUGUUCUGACCCUCCUGCCUCAGCCUUCUGAAGUGCUAGGGUUAGGGGGCGGGGCCAGCAACUGAUUUUAGAACUUUUCCUCGGUUGCAGGGAUUGAUGCCGUGCUAACCGUCCUCCAUAUGCUCCUUCUCUGCGCAAACCCCAGCUUUUCACCAGCAGCCUCUCCCUGCGUGACAGGUCAAGACGCCUCUCCGCCUGUAAGGGGAUUUCAAACCGGUGCUGGAGAGCAAGGAGAAAUCAGGAAGAGAAACUAUGGAAGCGCUUCAGUUCCCCCUCGGUGCUUCCUGUCUGCGCCUGCACUGAAUGAGGAACUCAGGUGGGGCCACUUAAACCGUUUUGGAGGGCAAGAAAGGUGACCGGUGCCAGUUGUGCAGACUCCAGCCCGUGGUGAGGCCCCUGGCAGGGAUGCGGCCUGGCCUCGGGGAGUGGAUGGCUCCGCGGGCAGCCCAGGGCUGCCAGGGGCGACCUGGCCUCCGGCUGGUGCCUGGCCGUCUUCGGUGCUUCGGUCCUGCAGAGCAGAGCGCAGACGACUCCACUGUGUUUUCGGACGAUCAAACUCGUGGACUCAGUGAGGGGAGCUGGAGGUGGAGGCCAUCUCCCAGCAGCCCCGCCGCGUGGAGUGGAGCGUGCGCGUGGGCGCCGGCUGUGCCCCCGCCCCGGGCUGGCAUCUUUUGCUCAGGACUGGAUGAAGUAAUAAGAGGGAACCAUGACUUCAUGCCUGGCAUCCGCGGUCUGUGAUAACCUGGAAGAACAUGUGCUCUUUGAUCUGAGGGAGCCCAUGUAGAAAAUCAAAAUAUAUUAAUAUCGGGGUUUUUUAAUGAAAAGAAAAAAUAAUGGCAAUAUUGGGGUGCAAAUCCCUACUCAGAACCCAGACAGCCAGGAUCAUAUUAAGGGUUGGCUGCAGCUGCUUUGCAGAUUUGAGGAAGAGCCGCGUAGGAAAGGCUUCCCCCCAACAGCCGCUUAGAGUCAAGGACAGGCGUGGAAACUUCCUCCGUGGCCCCAGACCGCCUUUCCCUGCCCGAGGUGGAAGCCUUCUGUGGCUCAUUUUUUGGUAGUUUUGAGUGGCAGGUGGUCCGGGCUCUGCGUGUGGGGUUUACAGACACUUUUAUCUGUGACAGCAAAAA